UCCCUGGUGGCUCAGUGGUAAAGAAUCUGCCUGCCAAUGCAGGAGGCACGGGUUCAAUUCCUGAUCAGGGAA
rnacentral:tRNA from 1 species